rnacentral:rRNA from 1 species
GCGGAGGAAAAGAAAAUAACAAUGAUUUUCCUAGUAACGGCGAGUGAAGAGGAAAGAGCUCAAAGUUGGAACCUGUUUGGCUUAGCUAAACCGGAUUGUAAACUGUAGAAGCGUUUUCCUGGCGCACCAAGCAAAUAAGUCCUUUGGAACAGGGCAUCAUAGAGGGUGAGAAUCCCGUCUUUGGCUUGAGUUGUCGUCUAUUGUGAUACGUUUUCAAAGAGUCAGGUUGUUUGGGAAUGCAGCCUAAAUUGGGUGGUAAAUCUCACCUAAAGCUAAAUAUUUGCGAGAGACCGAUAGCGAACAAGUACCGUGAGGGAAAGAUGAAAAGAACUUUGAAAAGAGAGUUAAACAGUAUGUGAAAUUGUUAAAAGGGAACCGUUUGGUGCCAGACUGGCUUGAUUGUAAUCAACCUGGGCUUCGGCUCGGGUGCACUUGCAGUCUAUGCCUGCCAACGACAGUUUGGUUUGGAGGAAAAAAUUAUAAGGAAUGUGGCCCCUCGGGGUGUUAUAGCCUUAUUUCAUACUCUGGACUGGACUGAGGAUCGCAGUGAAUGCCUUUAGGCAAGAUUGCUGGGUGCUUUCGCUAAUAAAUGCUAGAAUUUCUGCUUCGGGUGGUGCUAGUGUCUAAAGGAGGAACUCGCUUGGUAUAUUUUUUAUUCGCUUAGGUUGUUGGCUUAAUGACACUAAAUGAC